rnacentral:rRNA from 1 species
GAUGAACGCUGGCGGUAUGCUUAACACAUGCAAGUCGAACGGACUCUUCGGAGUUAGUGGCGGACGGGUGAGUAACGCGUGAGAAUCUGGCUUUGGGUUCGGGACAACCGCUGGAAACGGUGGCUAAUACCGGAUGUGCCGAGAGGUAAAAGAGAAAUUGCCUGAAGAUGAGCUCGCGUCUGAUUAGCUAGUUGGUGAGGUAAAGGCUCACCAAGGCAGCGAUCAGUAGCUGGUCUGAGAGGAUGACCAGCCACACUGGGACUGAGACACGGCCCAGACUCCUACGGGAGGCAGCAGUGGGGAAUUUUCCGCAAUGGGCGAAAGCCUGACGGAGCAAUACCGCGUGAGGGAAGAAGGCUCUUGGGUUGUAAACCUCUUUUCUUAGGGAAGAACAAAAUGACGGUACCUAAGGAAUCAGCAUCGGCUAACUCCGUG